UACGGAGGGUGCAAGCGUUAUCCGGAUUCACUGGGCUUAAAGGGCGCGUAGGCGGGCAAGCAAGUCCGGGGUGAAAUCUUUCGGCUCAACCGGAAAAGUGCCUUGGAUACUGCUUGUCUGGAGGGAGGUAGGGGCAUGCGGAACUUCUGGUGGAGCGGUGAAAUGCGUUGAUAUCAGAAGGAACGCCGGUGGCGAAAGCGGCGUGCUGGACCUCUUCUGACGCUGAUGCGCGAAAGCUAGGGGAGCAAACGGG
rnacentral:rRNA from 1 species